AUGGUGGUUGGAAAAUGGUGUUUCAUAAAGAUGCACAGACAUUUUCCCUGUUUUUUUCGGUCUUCUCUCCAUUCAAUCGAGUUAAGGAAGGAAUUGACUCCUUUGCAGCCUGAAUGGAGAAUGAUUUCUGUACAAUCCGGUCCACGGGGAUACGAGUAUAAAGCCGGCUGCAUAGAUUUUCUUUGGACGAGCAAAUACCGGAGCCCGAAUCCAUAUAUUCUCUCCACAAGAGGAUGGAAAAGGCUGUGUCUGUAUUAUUGUACCCCACCUAAGGAUACCACUCCAUACUGCCUGAAGUGUAGCGCCUUAUUUCCUGCAUUGACGAGCAGGAAAUCAGACUACGCUUUUGUGAACUUGAAAUUCAUAUUGUCCCCCUAUAUCGCUGAAGGCUAAAAUGUAUAGUGUAGCUAUACACAAUACAAAACAUUAAGAACACAUUCUUUUUCCAUGAUGUAGACUGACCAGGUGAAUCCAGGUAAAAUGAUCCUUAUUGAUGUCACUUGUUUAAUCCACAUCAGUCGUUGAAGAUGAAAGGGGGCAGACAUGUUAAAUAAGGAUUUUUAAGCCUUGAGACAAUUGAGUCAUGGGUUGUGUAUGUGUGCCAUUCAGAGGGUAAAUUGGAAAGACAAAAGAUUUAAGUGCCUAUGAACGGGGUUUGUUAGCAGGUUUCAAGUGCACCAGUUUGUGUUUAGAACUCCAACGCUGCUGGGAUUUUCAUGCUCAACAGUUUCCUGUGUGUAUAAAGAAUGGUCCGCCACCCAAAGGACAUCCAGCCAACUCAAUAUUGGGAAGGUUUUCCUAAUGUUUGGUAUAUUCAGUAGUCUUUAGGUGGUCUCUUGAAUCAAAACAGCCCAUUCACUGUAUUGAAAUAUUUUGCAAAACAUAUCCAGACUAAAUCCUGAUUUACAGUGAGCUACAAAAGUAUUGGGACAGUGACAUGUUUUUCUUUUUUGGUUCUGUACUCCAGCACUUUGGAUUCCUAAUGAUACUAUGGGGUUAAAGUGCAGACUGUUAUCUUUAAUUUGAGGGUAUCUUUGUCCAUAUUGGGUGACCGUUUAGAAAUUACAGCACUUGUACAUAAUCCCUCCAUUUUAGGGAGUCGAAGGUUUAGUACAGUAUCUGGUCCCAUAUUCCUAGCACACAAUGACUACAUCAAGCUUGUUACUCUACAAACUUGUUGGAUGCAUUUGCUGUUUGUUUUUGUUGUGUUUCAGAUUAUUUUGUGCCCAAUAGAAAUGAAUGGUAAAUAAUGUGUUAGGUCAUUUUGGAGUCACUUUUAUUGUAAAUAAGAAUAGAAUGUUCUAAACACCUCUACAUUAAUGUGAAUGCUACCAUGAUUACAGAUCAUCCUGAAUCGUGAAUGAGUGAGAAAGUUACACAAACAUCAUACCGCCCCCCCCAAAAAAUACUAACCUCCCCUCCCGUUAUUUUAAUGGUGAGGUGUUAACAUGUCUUAAGGGUAUGAUAUUUGUGUAACUUUCUCACUCAUCAUUAUUUACGAUACAUUCAGGACUAUCCGUAAUCAUGUAAAAGUGUUUAGAAAUAAUAAUAUAUUCUUAUUUACAAUAAGUGACUCAAGUCUCUAUACAUUAUUUACCGAAGUGCUGGAGUACAGAGCCAAAACAACAAAACAAUUUGUCACUGUCCCAAUACUUUGAGCUCAAUGCAUUUAGAAAAGUAUUGGAUGUAUACAACUAUGUAAAUGAACCAUUGUUGUCCUUUGUAGAAGAAUGCAUCUAUUGAAUGAAUGUAAAGCUAAAUGUAUUUAUGCUUAUAUGGGAACAACUGUUAAUAAAGUAACUCAAUAUUAUACUUUUGUAUUGAGUCAUGGUUUGAAUUGCCCACAUCUUGAGCACUAUAUACUAAUAUUUCAUAGCAAAUGGUGGAUCAAUGUCUGUCCCAGC
rnacentral:lncRNA from 13 species